GACGAGCGCUGGCGGCGUGCCUAAUACAUGCAAGUCGAGCGAAGUUUUUCUGGUGCUUGCACUAGAAAAACUUAGCGGCGAACGGGUGAGUAACACGUAAAGAACCUGCCUCAUAGACUGGGACAACUAUUGGAAACGAUAGCUAAUACCGGAUAACAGUAUUUCUCGCAUGAGAGAUAUUUAAAAGUUGGUUAUGCUAACACUAUGAGAUGGCUUUGCGGUGCAUUAGCUAGUUGGUGGGGUAAAGGCCCACCAAGGCGACGAUGCAUAGCCGACCUGAGAGGGUGAUCGGCCACACUGGGACUGAGACACGGCCCAGACUCCUACGGGAGGCAGCAGUAGGGAAUCUUCCGCAAUGGGCGAAAGCCUGACGGAGCAACGCCGCGUGAGUGAAGAAGGAUUUCGGUUCGUAAAGCUCUGUUGUUAGGGAAGAAUGGAUAUGUAGUAACUAUACAUGUAAGAGACGGUACCUAACCAGAAAGCCACGGCUAACUACGUG
rnacentral:rRNA from 1 species